GUGUGUGUGUGUGUGUGUGUGUGUGUUGGCUGAGGCUGAUCUAACACCUGUUUCUCCUCCAGUCACAGAGCUGUGUGUGUGUCGGCCACUGCGCUGUCUGGACUCCGUGUGGGACAGCUCAGCGACGCCCCCUACCUGCCAUUACCCGCUCGUGACGCCGCUGCACCGCCACCUGCUGCUCUUCAACAGGGUGUGGAUGCCGCAGGUGAGGAGUGAGUCGUAUCUGCUGGUUUGUGCCGAGGGGACUGAGCUGCAGCUGUGGGAGCGACACUGCAGCGCUGAUCUUUGCUGAAGAACACUAGAUAGUCAACAGCAGAUGCUUCAGUGAAGCUGUAUGGACUGUGAUCUACUUUAUUGUGCAGUAGUCUGAUCUCUUCUUCUCUGUUCUUCAGUUCCAGUCUAUAAAGCCUUUUCAGCAUCGUGGCCACAUGAUUGAGUGAAUGAUUUGAAUCACUCAAGUUUCCUGCUUUAAUAAAUUAUCGCGGCCAUGAUUCUGAUUCACUAGUCACGUUUACAACUGGUUCAGCUCCAUAUUCUGAUUGCACUCAUAUUCUGAAUAUGAUGUUUAUAUGCACACAUAUUGUUGUUUUAGGUCUACUGAUCUACACAAGUUUUUUUUUUUCUUGCUGUUUCUCAAAAGAUUUCCCUAGAGAGUCCAGAUGCUGCCAUUGGUUAUGCAGUAUGUGCUCAGUCAUUUAAUUAGAAUUUAAUCUAAUCAGUUUCCUAAUUAGUCAUUUGAUUAGAAACCCUUCAGAAAUGCCCAAAAACUCUGACUGCAACUGGAAAGAACUGGGCAAAUGUCAAUAAUAAUAAGUGUUAAUAU